rnacentral:rRNA from 1 species
AUGGCCUCCGAGCUCGGGCAACCGCCGCCGGCGAAAUGCCCACCGACGGCGCCCACCACGAUUACGGACAUCGGCAACGACCUCCUUUGCGAGAUCUUCCUCCUCCUUCCCUCCCUCCCGAGCCUCGUUCGCGCCGCCCUCGCCUGCCGCACCUUCCUCCACGCCGUCCGUUCGUCCCCCGCCUUCCGCGGCCGAUUCCGGGCGCUCCACCAUCCGCAGCUCCUUGGCUUCUUCCGUGAAACCGGCCGCGAAGCCAUCCCCCCCUUCGUCCCCAUCCGCAGAAGCUCCGACCCCGACCUCACCGCCGCCGUCAGCGACUCAGCGGUUCCGAUUUCUUCCUCUUCCGCCUCCCUGAAGACAGCGAUUCCACCCCCGGCUGGGAGCUGA